GACGUAGGGCGCGAGCGUUGUCCGGAUUUAUUGGGCGUAAAGAGCUCGUAGGCGGCUCAUUGCGUCAACCGUGAAAACCAGCAGCUCAACUGUUGGCUUGCGGUUGAUACGGGUGGGCUGGAGUUCGGUAGGGGAGACUGGAAUUCCUGGUGUAGCGGUGAAAUGCGCAGAUAUCAGGAAGAACACCCGUGGCGAAGGCGGUUCUCUGGGACGGUACUGACGCUGAGACGCGAAGGCGUGGGGAGCGAACGGG
rnacentral:rRNA from 1 species